rnacentral:rRNA from 1 species
CAGUAGCCACGGGAAUACGGAGGGGGCUAGCGUUGUUCGGAAUUACUGGGCGUAAAGCGCACGUAGGCGGCUUGGUAAGUUAGAGGUGAAAGCCUGGAGCUCAACUCCAGAAUUGCCUUUAAGACUGCCGAGCUAGCAGGUGAGAGAGGUAAGUGGAAUUCCGAGUGUAGAGGUGAAAUUCGUAGAUAUUCGGAAGAACACCAGUGGCGAAGGCGGCUUACUGGCUCAUACUGGACGCUGAGGUGCGAAAGCGUGGGGAGCAAACAGGAUUAGAUACCCCAGUAGUCCCUGUCUCUUAUAC